rnacentral:pre_miRNA from 1 species
ACAUCGAAUCAGACAGUUUAAGACAGAAUUUAAUAAAAUCUAAUACUGUCAGGUAACGAUGCCA